rnacentral:sRNA from 1 species
GUCUUUUCAGUUGUUU